UACCAGCACCCCGAGUGGUCGGGACGUUUAUUGGGCCUAAAGCAUCCGUAGCCGGUUCUACAAGUCUUCCGUUAAAUCCACCUGCUCAACAGAUGGGCUGCGGAAGAUACUAUGGAGCUAGGAGGCGGGAGAGGCAAGCGGUACUCGAUGGGUAGGGGUAAAAUCCGUUGAUCCAUUGAAGACCACCAGUGGCGAAGGCGGUGUUCUGGGCCGGAACUGACGCUGAGGAGCGAAAGCGUGGGUAGCAAACAGG
rnacentral:rRNA from 1 species